AGUCAGUCUCCCUGAGUAAAUUGGGAAUCACUCUAACUGACUAGUGCAUUCCCUGGGUAAAUUGGGAAUGACUUUAAUAGACAGGUGCUUGCCCUGGGUAAUUUGAGAUUGACUCUGACAGGCAGGUGCUUGCCCUGGGUAAAUUGGGAAUGACACUUACAGACAGGUGCUUGCCCUGGGUAAAUUGGGAAUGACACUUACAGACAGGUGCUUGUCCUGGGUAAAAUGGGAAUGUCACUUACAAACAGGAGCUUGCCCUGGGUAAAUUGAGAAUGACACUUACAGACAGGUGCUUUCCCUGGUUAAAUUAGGAAUGACUCUAACAGACAGUUGCUUGCCCUGGGUAAAUUGGGAAUGUCACUUACAGACAGGAGCUUGCCCUGGGUAAAUUGGGAAUGAUUCUGACAG